rnacentral:lncRNA from 1 species
GUGUUAUCCUUCGUCUAACGGACCGAGGCCGGUGCUGCCUUCAUUCGCCGCCGGCCCGGACCUUAGUGGCGCCCCAGCUAGGGCCGCACCGGCUCUGCCACUUGGGCGGUGUGGAAGCGUGGGAUUGGGGCCUGUGUCCGCGGGCUUGGUGGUUCUUCAGGUAUUAAGGAUUCAUUCAUUCAUCCACUCAUCAUUUAUUGAAAGCUGUGUGCAACAGGAAUUAUUAUAGAUGAUUGGGAUAUGGCAUUGAACAAAGGAGACAAGCUCUCUGCUAUCAUGGUACUUACAUUGUUGUGGGCCAGGUAAUAAAUAAGCUCUGCCUUCUCAGGCCCAGUCUGUUCUCAGAAAGAGGAAAUGACUCAGCCCCAGGUAAAUUUUAAAUUGUGUAUUUGUUCCCUGCCUUAUUUUACAGUGCAGUUUAAAAACAUUACAGUAAUCCAUAGAAUGAAUUGAAAAAUGAUAUACAGAUAAAACAUAUUCAGAGGAAAUAACGUAGACAAGGAAUGAGUUAAAAUAUGAUUAUGCAGAAAUGCAUUCAUUCAGAGAUUAAAAUUGGGCUUCUGGGGGAGUUCCCAUCAUGGCUUAGUGGUAACAAACUGGACUAGUAUCCAUGAGGACACAAGUUCGAUCCCUGGUGUUGCUCAGUAGGUUAAGGAUCCAGUGUUGCCAUGAGCUGUGGUGUAGGUUGCAGACACAACUUGGAUCCUGCAUUGCUAUGGCUAUGGUGUAGGCUGGUGGCUACAGCUCUAACUCGACCUCUAGCCUGGGAAUCUCCAUAUGCUGCAGGUGUGGCCCUUAAAAAAAAAAAAAAUUGAGUUUCAGAUUUGAAUUUGUUUAUUUUUCCAUUCAUCUUUUUUUAUUAUUUUUUAAUAGUUAUUUCCCCAAUACAAUUUUUUUUCUACUGUACAGCAUGGUGACCCAGUUUUAAUUUAAUUAUUAUAAGUAACAAGAACAGAAACUCAUUCCAUAAUUUGCAUGGUACAUAAAGAUAAAAAAUGAACAUUUAUUAUCAGAAGCAAGUUUUUCAUUGGCAUCUAGGUCAGUGAAUCCAUUAUGUAGUGUGACUUCUUGUAGCUUUUCUGAUGGUCUGUUUUGAUAAAGGAUAAAACAAAGAAUAUAUGGGAAGGGACACGAAGGAAUCUUCUAGUAUGCUGAAACUGUUCUAUAUUUUGACUUGGGCGGUAGGUACACAAAUACAUAAAUGUAUAAAAUGUCUCCAUUUGUCUGCUUAAGAUUAAUGCAUUUUAUCACAUUCUGUGCAUGUCAUAAUUCAUUUUUUUUUAAAAAUCAGACUAUUUGAAGAAAUAUGUUGGGUGUAUCUUUCAAAUGACUUUCUAUAAUUAUCUUUUUCCAUGCAUUUGCUAUAGAUUCUAUCACAAUCUAAUCAUUUCUGAUAAAUUCUUAUUUUAGUUCACUAGAAUGUGAACAGACAGUAUGUUUUUCUUGGUUUACUGCUGUAUCUUCAGCUGCUAGAACAAUGCCUGCUAUAUGUGGUUUCUGUGAACAUUUGUGGUUUUAAUGAAUUGAAUCCACAGUUGCAUAUUUCUUUAUUUUAUUCAUAGAAUAAGUAAUGUCUGUCUCUUCAAGGAUAUCUUCUUUUCCUUCAAACUUCCUUUGGAAUUUUUCAGUUUUAUCCUACAGUCUUAGCUAUUGAACAGAUCUCACUAUAUUGCCUUUUUGCCCUCAGCUUAAAGCUCUGCUAUACUGAGAUAGACUUUUCUUGCCCAAGCACCCCAUGUAGCAGCUUCUCUUUAUCUCUAGUUUUCUCCUGAAACUCAGGUUAAAUUUCAAAGUGAAUACACCUGUGUAACCAGUAUAAACACUAAAUCAAGAAAUAGAACAUUACCCUAAUGUAAGUUAAAUUCCUUCUACACCUUUCUAAGUAUUACCCCCACCCCAGUGGUAACCACUGUUUAGUUUAUAUCACCAUAGAUUAUUUCUGCCUAUUUUUAGUGUAAUCUGUGUACUUUGUGUUUUUCUUUUGCUUAAUAUUUCACUUGUCAGAUUUAUGUUGAAUUGUUGCAUAUAGCUGUAGUUCAGUUAAUCUUAUUACUGUAUAUUAUCCAGUUAUGUGAAUAAACCUUAAUUUCAUGUAUCCAUUCUAUUAAGAUUGGCAUUUAGGUAGUUUUUAUUUGGGAACAAUUAGAAUAAUGUUCCUGUGAACUCUCUGGUAGAUUUUUGGUGCACAUAUGUAUGUAUUUCUCUAACCAAAGUAGAAUUACAGAGUCAUAAGUAUGCAUAAGAUUACCUUUUAUUGAUACAGCUGGUUUUACAAAGUGUCCAAAAUUAUAUUCUUAACAGUGUAGCAGAGGUCUGAGUUACUCCAAGACAACCAUCUUGAGUGUAUUUUCUACAGUAACUAGCUUUUUUUUUUUUUUUUUUUUUUUUUUUUGGCAUAACAUCACACUCGUAGGCAAUAAAAGAGAAGCUCAGCUAAACAUGAGUACAUAAAAAUUACAUUCUUGGAGUUCCUGCUGUAAUACAGCAGGUUAAGGAUCUGGUGUCUCUGGGUGGCACAGGUUCAAUACCUGGCCCAGUGCAGUGGGUUAAGGAUCUGGUGUUGCCACAGCUGUGGUAUAAGUCACAGCUUAGGCUUGGAUUUGAUCCCUGGCCCAGGAACUUCCAUAUGCUGCAGGUGUGGCCCCCCAAAAUUACAUUCUCCUUUUUGAUACAGUCAACAUAAAUAAAAUAAAUUGGCAAACUUUGACAAUAAUUUCAGUAAUACAUAUGGCAGUCCCAAUCUGGUAUUUGCAAACCGAAUUAAAAUCCAGUCAGAAACAAGGACAUUAAAAAAAAAAAAAUCCACAAUUGAAAAAAUAAAAAAGAACAAAUGCCCAAUAAAAAGUGCAAAUAAUAAUAAAACUAAUGUCUAUUUUUAGAACUCAUUAUUUUUUUUUAAUGAGUUAAGGAACAGCACAGAAAGAUUAAAAAAUUUCCUCAAACAUGUAAGGAUAACUUGAUCCCCUUGCUGUACAGUGGGAAAAAAAAAAAAAUUUUUGCUCAAGAUCAUAGGUAAAGGAUGUAGUGGAAUCAGGAUUUAGUCCCAGAUAGUGUAACUGUGAAGACUGCAACUUUGUUUUGUUUUGUUUUUGGUCUUUUGAGGGCCUCACCCACAGCGUAUGGAGGCUAGGGUCUAAUCGGAGCUGUAGCUGCUGGCCUAUACCACAGCCACAGCAAUGCCAGAUCCUUAAUCCACUGAGUGAGGCCAGGGAUCGAACCUGCAACCUCAUGGUUCCUAGUCGGAUUUGUUUCCACUGCUCUACGAUGGUAACUCCUAAAUAAUGAUUUUUUAUUUUUUCCUUUAUAGCUGGUUUACAGUGUUCUGUCAGUUUUCUACUACACAGCAAGGUGACCCAGUUACACAUACAUGUAUACAUUCUUUUUUCUCGCAUUAUCUUGCUCUAUCAUAAGUGACUAGAUAUAGUUCCCAGUGCUAUACAGCAGGAACUCAUUGCUUAUCCAUUUCAAAGGCAAUAGUUUGCAUCUAUUAACCCCAAAUUCCCAGUCCAUCCAACUCCCUCCCCCUCCCCCUUGGCCACCACACGUCUGUUCUCCAAGUCCAUGAGUUUCUUUUCUACGAAGCCUGCAACCCUAACCACCCUCCUGUAUGACUUCAGCCUCCCUUAUCAUUAAUGAAAUGCAAAUAAAAUAUUUU